rnacentral:rRNA from 1 species
GGGUUGUGAGGUUAAGCGACUAAGCGUACACGGUGGAUGCCCUGGCAGUCAGAGGCGAUGAAGGACGUGCUAAUCUGCGAAAAGCGUCGGUAAGGUGAUAUGAACCGUUAUAACCGGCGAUGUCCGAAUGGGGAAACCCAGUGUGAUUCGUCACACUAUCGUUAACUGAAUACAUAGGUUAACGAGGCGAACCGGGGGAACUGAAACAUCUAAGUACCCCGAGGAAAAGAAAUCAACCGAGAUUCCCCCAGUAGCGGCGAGCGAACGGGGAGCAGCCCAGAGUCUGAAUCAGCUUGUGUGUUAGUGGAACGGUCUGGAAAGUCCGACGGUACAGGGUGAUAGUCCCGUACACCAAAAUGCACAGGUUGUGAACUCGAAGAGUAGGGCGGGACACGUGGUAUCCUGUCUGAAUAUGGGGGGACCAUCCUCCAAGGCUAAAUACUCCUGACUGACCGAUAGUGAACCAGUACCGUGAGGGAAAGGCGAAAAGAACCCCGGCGAGGGGAGUGAAAAAGAACCUGAAACCGUGUACGUACAAGCAGUGGGAGCACCUUCGGGUGUGACUGCGUACCUUUUGUAUAAUGGGUCAGCGACUUAUAUUCUGUAGCAAGGUUAACCGUAUAGGGGAGCCGCAGGGAAACCGAGUCUUAACUGGGCGUUAAGUUGCAGGGUAUAGACCCGAAACCCGGUGAUCUAGCCAUGGGCAGGUUGAAGGUUGGGUAACACUAACUGGAGGACCGAACCGACUAAUGUUGAAAAAUUAGCGGAUGACUUGUGGCUGGGGGUGAAAGGCCAAUCAAACCGGGAGAUAGCUGGUUCUCCCCGAAAGCUAUUUAGGUAGCGCCUCGUGAAUUCAUCUUCGGGGGUAGAGCACUGUUUCGGCUAGGGGGUCAUCCCGACUUACCAACCCGAUGCAAACUACGAAUACCGAAGAAUGUUAUCACGGGAGACACACGGCGGGUGCUAACGUCCGUCGUGAAGAGGGAAACAACCCAGACCGCCAGCUAAGGUCCCAAAGUCAUGGUUAAGUGGGAAACGAUGUGGGAAGGCACAGACAGCCAGGAUGUUGGCUUAGAAGCAGCCAUCAUUUAAAGAAAGCGUAAUAGCUCACUGGUCGAGUCGGCCUGCGCGGAAGAUGUAACGGGGCUAAACCAUGCACCGAAGCUGCGGCAGCGACACUAUGUGUUGUUGGGUAGGGGAGCGUUCUGUAAGCCUGCGAAGGUGUGCUGUGAGGCAUGCUGGAGGUAUCAGAAGUGCGAAUGCUGACAUAAGUAACGAUAAAGCGGGUGAAAAGCCCGCUCGCCGGAAGACCAAGGGUUCCUGUCCAACGUUAAUCGGGGCAGGGUGAGUCGACCCCUAAGGCGAGGCCGAAAGGCGUAGUCGAUGGGAAACAGGUUAAUAUUCCUGUACUUGGUGUUACUGCGAAGGGGGGACGGAGAAGGCUAUGUUAGCCGGGCGACGGUUGUCCCGGUUUAAGCAUGUAGGCUGGUUAUCCAGGCAAAUCCGGAUAAUCAAGGCUGAGGUGUGAUGACGAGGCACUACGGUGCUGAAGUAACAAAUGCCCUGCUUCCAGGAAAAGCCUCUAAGCAUCAGGUAACAUCAAAUCGUACCCCAAACCGACACAGGUGGUCAGGUAGAGAAUACCAAGGCGCUUGAGAGAACUCGGGUGAAGGAACUAGGCAAAAUGGUGCCGUAACUUCGGGAGAAGGCACGCUGGUGUGUAGGUGAAGUCCCUGCGGAUGGAGCUGAGACCAGUCGAAGAUACCAGCUGGCUGCAACUGUUUAUUAAAAACACAGCACUGUGCAAACACGAAAGUGGACGUAUACGGUGUGACGCCUGCCCGGUGCCGGAAGGUUAAUUGAUGGGGUUAUCCGUAAGGAGAAGCUCUUGAUCGAAGCCCCGGUAAACGGCGGCCGUAACUAUAACGGUCCUAAGGUAGCGAAAUUCCUUGUCGGGUAAGUUCCGACCUGCACGAAUGGCGUAAUGAUGGCCAGGCUGUCUCCACCCGAGACUCAGUGAAAUUGAACUCGCUGUGAAGAUGCAGUGUACCCGCGGCAAGACGGAAAGACCCCGUGAACCUUUACUAUAGCUUGACACUGAACAUUGAGCCUUGAUGUGUAGGAUAGGUGGGAGGCUUUGAAGCGUGGACGCCAGUCUGCGUGGAGCCAACCUUGAAAUACCACCCUUUAAUGUUUGAUGUUCUAACGUUGGCCCCUUACCGGGGUUGCGGACAGUGUCUGGUGGGUAGUUUGACUGGGGCGGUCUCCUCCCAAAGCGUAACGGAGGAGCACGAAGGUUAGCUAAUCCUGGUCGGACAUCAGGAGGUUAGUGCAAUGGCAUAAGCUAGCUUGACUGCGAGCGUGACGGCGCGAGCAGGUGCGAAAGCAGGUCAUAGUGAUCCGGUGGUUCUGAAUGGAAGGGCCAUCGCUCAACGGAUAAAAGGUACUCCGGGGAUAACAGGCUGAUACCGCCCAAGAGUUCAUAUCGACGGCGGUGUUUGGCACCUCGAUGUCGGCUCAUCACAUCCUGGGGCUGAAGUAGGUCCCAAGGGUAUGGCUGUUCGCCAUUUAAAGUGGUACGCGAGCUGGGUUUAGAACGUCGUGAGACAGUUCGGUCCCUAUCUGCCGUGGGCGCUGGAGAAUUGAGGGGGGCUGCUCCUAGUACGAGAGGACCGGAGUGGACGCAUCACUGGUGUUCGGGUUGUCAUGCCAAUGGCACUGCCCGGUAGCUAAAUGCGGAAGAGAUAAGUGCUGAAAGCAUCUAAGCACGAAACUUGCCCCGAGAUGAGUUCUCCCUGAGACUUUAAGUCUCCUGAAGGAACGUUAAAGACGAUGACGUUGAUAGGCCGGGUGUGUAAGCGCAGCGAUGCGUUGAGCUAACCGGUACUAAUGAACCGUGAGGCUUAACCUUACAACGCCGAAG